ACUCCCUCCCUUCGUUCCCUCUUCUGGGCUGGGAGCUGGCUCUCCGGCAGGGCUCUGGGGCGGGGGUACUGGAGGUUGAGAGCAGGAUGCGGGGGCCAAGGGCCAGCCCGACCCCAAGUCUUCGGCAGCUACUACAGUGGCGGGGACUCUACCUUCCGGACGCCCCCAGACUCCUCGGGGAAGAGACACAGGAGUGGCAGGUCCUGGGAUGAACUAUGGUGAACCCAAGCAGCGUCCCUCCCCUCAAGUUCCUCACCUCCCCGGACCAAGCCCAUGACCCAGAACCUUACCCUUGGAAGUCAUACGAUGUCACCAGCUCUCUCCAUAGACCCUCCUCUCUGAGAGGACUGUCACUGUUAUCGGAGAUACAGUGGUGGCCGUCUUUGGAGAACACCAUCUGCCACACAGGGAGCUGAUACGGAGACAUAUCCGUGAUGGAGACAUCCCCUGGAGGAUCACAUGGCUGACUCCAGAGCCACAUUCCAGGCGUGGAGUCAUGGCUCUGAGUUUGAAUCCCAGUGGCUGCCGUUAUUGCCUGGGAGAUCCUGGAUAUUAAUUAACUUAUUGUGGUCAUCAUUUCACUCAGUCUGUGCUGCAUGUCAUGUGUAUCUCACUGAAACUCGAGGGGAAAAUGAGCGAAAAUAAAAGUCACGACACCCAGGCUGGAUUCCUGGCACCACCCCUUACUAGCUGUGUGCCUUUGGACAAGUCGGGAAAAAUCUCUGGGUCUCAGUGUCCUCCUCUGCAAAGAGAAGGUCACCAGGAUCCUCGGUACAAAAGAAGGGG